CAGUAGCCGCGGUAAUACAGAGGAUGCAAGCGUUAUCCGGAAUGAUUGGGCGUAAAGCGUCUGUAGGUGGCUUUUCAAGUCCGCCGUCAGAUCCCAGGGCUCAACCCUGGACAGGCGGUGGAAACUACCAAGCUGGAGUACGGUAGGGGCAGAGGGAAUUUCCGGUGGAGCGGUGAAAUUCGUAGAUAUUCGGAAGAACACCAGUGGCGAAGGCGACUCACUGGACUGGUAUUGACGCUGAGGUGCGAAAGCGUGGGGAGCGAACAGGAUUAGAUACCCCAGUAGUCCCUGUCUCUUAUAC
rnacentral:rRNA from 1 species